rnacentral:lncRNA from 1 species
AAAUUGAAUGAUUUAUUAAAUCUAAUCCAAUUAGACUCAAACCAAGCCAAUUAGGUGCCAACUCUUGGCUAACCCAUAUUAGAAUAUGAUCUAAUCAAAUUAGAUCAUUAAGAAUCAGAUUCGAAUCCAAUUCGAAUCAGAUUCGAAUCCAAUUCGAAUCAGAUUCGAAUCCAAUUCGAAUCAGAUUCGAAUCCAAUUCGAAUCAGGAGCUAAGGUUUGCAACACCUGCUAGGAUGUUUAUCUUGCGAACAUGAUCUAAUCCAAUUAGACCCUUGAUAAGUUUCCUUGUGUGUGAUCCAUUGGGUUCCAUACUUAGCCAGCAAUAGGUGUGAGUGUGAGUUGACCCAACUUGAUUAGAAUUUUUCUAAUCGAUUUAAGUCCAAACUGCGCGAACCCGAACUUAACAAUUAGAAUCCUUUCUAAUUGGUGAUCGAAUUAAACUCUUUAAUUUGAUCAAACCUAUAAAACAAGAUUGACGUCUAGCAACGUGUCAUGUCUACCCGAAAAAUAUGGAAUUUGGUGGAAAUACCAAAAAUACCC